rnacentral:rRNA from 1 species
GACGAACGCUGGCGGCGUGCUUAACACAUGCAAGUCGAACGGAAGGGCCCUGCUUUUGUGGGGUGCUCGAGUGGCGAACGGGUGAGUAACACGUGAGUAACCUGCCCUUGACUUUGGGAUAACUUCAGGAAACUGGGGCUAAUACCGGAUAGGAGCUCCUGCUGCAUGGUGGGGGUUGGAAAGUUUCGGCGGUUGGGGAUGGACUCGCGGCUUAUCAGCUUGUUGGUGGGGUAGUGGCUUACCAAGGCUUUGACGGGUAGCCGGCCUGAGAGGGUGACCGGCCACAUUGGGACUGAGAUAUGGCCCAGACUCCUACGGGAGGCAGCAGUGGGGAAUAUUGCACAAUGGGCGGAAGCCUGAUGCAGCAACGCCGCGUGCGGGAUGACGGCCUUCGGGUUGUAAACCGCUUUCGCCUGUGACGAAGCGUGAGUGACGGUAAUGGGUAAAGAAGCACCGGCUAACUACGUG